CUUCCCUCCCGAGUCUUUGUGUUAAUCCGUCUGCUAGCCUUCGUACGACGUUAAGACCACGCUGGUUUCACUGUCGAAAGAGCUAGUUACUGUCACGAUUAUUAUUCUUUUCUGUGUUUCGUGAAGCCAUUUAUUCAGCUUUUUCAGCUCGUUUUCUGUUCUGAGCUGUCAGUUCAAACCCUAUUCUGAGUGCUUUUGCUUGCCUAGCAUUGGCUUCAUAUCUAUAUUCCCUGUCUGUGUGCAUAUUGGUCUGGGUGACCACUCACAUUUUCUCGUGUCACCCCAGGUACAAUCCUUCCAUGUUUCUUUUCCGUUCCCCAACUAACUCUUUUUCUUUUGGUUUAGACAUCACACGUAUGUCAGUUCACUGUAUGUCAACACAGUUUGAGUCCUACACAUAUUUCAUUUUGUGUCGUGCUUGACCCAGCAUCAACUUGCGAAUAAACUAUAGGGGCUGCUUACAACAGACCCCAGAAGAAACUCUGAAGGCUCUCACUAAAUCCAUAGCGUCGAAACAUUUUGGAGCUUCUGCC
rnacentral:lncRNA from 1 species